rnacentral:rRNA from 1 species
ACGAACGCUGGCGGCGUGCUUCACACCUGCCAGUCGCACGGAAAGGCCUGCUUUUGUGGGGUGCUCGAGUGGCGAACGGGUGAGUAACACGUGAGUAACCUGCCCUUGACUUUGGGAUAACUUCAGGAAACUGGGGCUAAUACCGGAUAGGAGCUCCUGCUGCAUGGUGGGGGUUGGAAAGUUUCGGCGGUUGGGGAUGGACUCGCGGCUUAUCAGCUUGUUGGUGGGGUAGUGGCUUACCAAGGCUUUGACGGGUAGCCGGCCUGAGAGGGUGACCGGCCACAUUGGGACUGAGAUACGGCCCAGACUCCUACGGGAGGCAGCAGUGGGGAAUAUUGCACAAUGGGCGGAAGCCUGAUGCAGCAACGCCGCGUGCGGGAUGACGGCCUUCGGGUUGUAAACCGCUUUCGCCUGUGACGAAGCGUGAGUGACGGUAAUGGGUAAAGAAGCACCGGCUAACUACGUG